UACGAAGGACCCAAGCGUUAUCCGGAUUUAUUGGGUUUAAAGGGUGCGUAGGCGGGUUAUUAAGUCAGUGGUGAAAGCCUUCAGCUUAACUGGAGAAUUGCCAUUGAUACUGAUGAUCUUGAGUAUGAUUGAGGUGGGCGGAAUUUGUCAUGUAGCGGUGAAAUGCUUAGAUAUGACAUAGAACACCAAUUGCGAAGGCAGCUCACUACACAAUCAUUGACGCUGAGGCACGAAAGCGUGGGGAUCAAACAGG
rnacentral:rRNA from 1 species